rnacentral:rRNA from 1 species
UACAGAGGGGGCAAGCGUUGUUCGGAAUUACUGGGCGUAAAGGGCACGUAGGCGGCCUGUUAAGUCGAACGUGAAAUCCCCGGGCUCAACCCGGGAACUGCGUCCGAUACUGGCAGGCUUGAAUUCGGGAGAGGGAUGUGGAAUUCCAGGUGUAGCGGUGAAAUGCGUAGAUAUCUGGAGGAACACCGGUGGCGAAGGCGGCAUCCUGGACCGAUAUUGACGCUGAUGCGCGAAAGCCAGGGGAGCAAACGGG